rnacentral:rRNA from 1 species
UACAGAGGUCUCAAGCGCUUGUUCGGAUUCAUUGGGCGUAAAGGGUGCGUAGGCGGCGCGGUAAGUCGGGUGUGAAAUCUCGGAGCUUAACUCCGAAACUGCAUUCGAUACUGCCGUGCUUGAGGACUGGAGAGGAGACUGGAAUUUACGGUGUAGCGGUGAAAUGCGUAGAUAUCGUAAGGAAGACCAGUGGCGAAGGCGGGUCUCUGGACAGUUCCUGACGCUGAGGCACGAAGGCCAGGGGAGCAAACGGG